UACGUAGGGUGCGAGCGUUAAUCGGAAUUACUGGGCGUAAAGCGUGCGCAGGCGGUUGUGCAAGACAGGUGUGAAAUCCCCGGGCUUAACCUGGGAACUGCACUUGUGACUGCACAGCUGGAGUGCGGCAGAGGGGGAUGGAAUUCCGCGUGUAGCAGUGAAAUGCGUAGAGAUGUGGAGGAACACCGAUGGCGAAGGCAGCCCCCUGGGUCAAGAUUGACGCCCAUGCACGAAAGCGUGGGGAGCAAACAGG
rnacentral:rRNA from 1 species